UGUCUGCACUUUUCCUUUACCUUACCACGUGUAAUUUAUUUCAAAUACUCCUCUUUUUCAAUUUGCAGAGUGCAAACAUAUUACAACUCCUCUAAUUCUUUCUCCUUCGCACACUCUGCAAGUUCAGUGAGUUUUACAAUUCGUCUGGGCUUCUUUGGAUCCUUUGAGUAUGAGAUUUUUCCUCUGUCUAUGUUCAUAUUUCUUAUAUGAAUUCUGUCUUUUGUGAUUUUUCAUUCUGUUUGCCUCAAUUUUCGAGUGUCUAUUGUGUUUAUUAAAUUUUAUAAGUUUUCUCCCCAAUUUUUUUCUCCUUAUGUUGUGUACUGGAUUUCACUUCUGGAUUUCUUUGAAAGUUUUGUCUAUUUUUGUUCGAUGUUGGUUUCUCUAUUCUUUUGAAUAAUUUCUUGCUAGAUUUUCUAUCUCAUUUUGAUAUGCAUGUCUGGAAAGAAAUAUCUAGGUGCAUUGCACCACAUAUACUAGCAUUCUCAUAAAAAGAAAUACCUAAGUGCAUGCUCUUUGUGUUCUGAUCUUGAUUGUGUAAAUUGGGGUAUUUAGUGGAAAAAAUUUUUUCUUUAAAGGUUCUGAUUAAGGGUGAAAUAGGUUGUAUUAUCGAAUUAUGAAUUAUUUUCGGAGUAAUUUCAUAUUUGAUCUUUAUUCGAAGUAUGUAUACUGCUUUAAUGGCAGACUUGAGUGCUACAGGUGUCAUGAGCAGCUUCCUUCUUUCAUUUGUUCUCUUUCAGGACAUUCUUAAGUUUUCAGAUAAGAGGGUUGAUGAUUCAUUUUUCCUCCAUAUUUCGCAAAAGUUCAUUUGAUUGCAGUGCAAAGCUAUCCGCAUAUGGAAGAAGAUUUGUAAGGGGAAAAAAGUAAGUUUUAGUCAUCCUGUGUGUUUUUGUCUUCCUUACUGCUCUUGGCCAUGGAUUCUUGAUUCAUUUCAAAAUUUCUAUUGUGGUUUCCCUUUGUAUGUGGAUUUGCUGAUUUUUUUUCUCUUUUUCUUAUUGAUGAGCAUUUAGAUGUUCGAUUCUAUUUUUGAUAAGAUUAUUGAUUUACAAUUUUCACUCGCUCUCUGAAAGUAUCUUUGCAUUUCGCUUUGUUUUUCUUUUUAAUACUCCUACAGAGUAUGUGAUUUUGAAUAUUUGUUUGCUUUUUCUCUUUCUUCAUGUAUGUAGUUAUUUGUUAGAACUCUUCUAUGGAAGCACUGAAUGUUCAUCAAGAAUAAAUAGUAGUAACAAAAAUGGAAGAACUUUGAUGCAACAAAAGUGUUUGACAAUAAACCUGAAACAACUGAAAGAGCUUUUAUUCCUCUUUUUUCAGUUGUUCUAUAACAUAAAUAUACUAUCAUUUAGCAACUCCAAAUCUAUAUUACUUUUACUAGUAUUAAGAGAAAGCAAUGAGAGUUCUAAUCAUCAAACCGUUCCGACACACGGUUUAAAACUAGAGUCACCCCUAGGCGCCACACCUCAUAAUGACAAAUCCCGAGUCACAAAUCACAAAUCAAAUACACAUGGAAUCUCAUGCCCCCAUUAUCAAUCACCUUCGCACGGCUAAGAUCUCGUUCUAUAGUAUAACUCACAACCGUACGGACAACUCAUGUAUUUCCUAGACAACUCGCGUGCCAAUAUCACAAUCCACCCAGCAUGGUCACAUGCUCAAUAUCACAAUCCACCCGGUGUGGUCACAAGAUCAAUAUCGCAAUUAGCCCGGUGUGAUCACGGGCUACCAUUCCAAACCAUAUCGCAGAAAAACUAGAUAUACAAUAAUACAUGUACAUUAUCAAUGAACAUCAUGUUUUAUACUCCUGGACCGGUAUAAAUGACAUGUUACAGUAUAUGCAUGUACAAGUGUAAUAUCACAGCUCAAAUCAUCAAGUAAUAUCAUAAACAUUGAGUAGCACAUUGGGAACAACAAAACAAGUCACGUAAUAUGCAUGACAUGCACAAGAAAGUCAAAAACAACAACCAUAAUACUCGUCUUUCAUCAACAACAUGCCCCUAAGACAUCACAUAACAUCCCCAUAUCGCCACCCUUAUCUCACUAUUUUGACAAUAUCAUAAUAGCCACAUGUAUCGCUCCACUCGGACAAUAUAUCAAUAGCCACUCGUAUCCCUCCGCCCCGACAAUAACACAAUAGCCACCCUUAUCACUCCGCCCAGACAAUAACACAAUAGCCACAAGUAUCACUCCACCUAGAAAAUAACACAAUAGCCAUUUGUAUCACUCCGGUCGGACAGAAUAUCAAUAGGCACUAGUAUCACUCCGCACAAUCAACAAUAGUGAAAUGACACCCUUAUGAUCUGCACAAUCAACAAUAGUGAAGUGCCACCCUUAUGCUCCACACAAUAAUGAUCAAUCCCCACAACAUGUCCACAUAUGCCACAAUAUUUCCAAAACAACGAUACCAAUAUCAUAAUAAAGCAUAGCCCAUGGCUCAACAACAAUGUGUACUAGAAUUUCAAAAACAACAAAAUGAAAUGGGAAAUAAGUUGAAAAUAAAAGAUAUUUCAUAUAACAACAACUUCAAUUAAAAGCAUAUGAAUAACCUAAGGGUCCAAAACGAUCAAUUCCAUAUAUAAGAUCGGGUACAAACGUGUCACCCUGUAUACACGACUUUUACAUAAUUCAAAUAAUGCAAUUAGACCAAAUCUUGUAAGAUAGAUUCCUCCACACAAAGUUAGGCAAGAUAUUUAUCUUAAAAAAUAAAAUCAAUCCACUAAUAAGCCUUUUCUACGUGAAACAACCUCUGAACAGCUCGAAUCUAGUCAAAAUAACAUAAUUUCAUAUAUAAAAGCCAUAGAAAACAUUUUUCGAAUAAUAAAGAUUCGAUCUUGAACAAGAAUCAAAAAUUUUACCUUGGUUCUGCACCUUGGAACCCAACAAAACUUACAAAUUCUAAACACAUAUUCAAAUUCGAGUUCAACCAUACCAAAAUCAUCCAACUCCGACCUCAAAUCAGCCUUCAAAUUAUCAAUUUAUGUUGUAGAAAAGUUUUUACUAAAAUUCCCAAUUUCUCCAAUUUAAAACAUCAAGCAAACACUAAAAUCGAGGUUAGAAUCAUGAAAUAUAAAUAAAUCCGAGUCAAACACUUAUCCCAUUCCUAAUAUUGACCAGGGGUCCUCUUCGAGAUCGCGGGACUUGCUUCGCUAUAGUAAAGAGCAAAUCAUAAGAUUCCAAGAUUCCCUCUACGCGAAUGCAGUGUGAAGCCCGCGAAUGAGACCCCUCAGCUAAUCUAGCUUAUGUGAACACAACCUCAGUAUGUGAAUGCAAAGGCCAACCAUUGGCGCCCCUUCCUGCUCUGCCUCUACACGAUCGCGACACAAGGAACAUGAACGUUAUGAACAUCUCCCCUCCAGGUUCCGUGAAUGCGAAAACCGAAUCACAGAUGCGAUGAGCAAGUACUCAGCCACCCAAAAUACACUUCACAAUCGCAUAUUGCCUUCCUCAAUUGCGACGAACUGUAGAACAUCAGAAAAACCAGCAAUUCCAAAACAUGAAGAAAUGGCUCGUAGCCCAUCCGAAACACACCUGAGGCCCCGAGACCCCAUCCAAUCACACUAACCAAUCUCAAAACAUAAUAGGGACCUACUCGAUACCUCAAAUCACACCAAAAAUUAUCAAAACUAUGAACCACACCUCAAUUCAAGCCUAAUGAAUAAAUAAAAUUUCAACUUCCAAAGUUCAUGUCGAACUAUAUGAAAUCAAUUUGGAAAAACUUAAAAUUUUGCAUGCAAGUCCCAAAUGAUACAACAGACCUAUACCAACUCCGGAAAUCAUAAUCUGAACUUGAUAUGAACAAAGUCAACUCUCAAUCAAACCUAUCAACCUUACAAACCUUUUACUAUUCAACUUUCGCCAAUUCAAGCCAAAACAACCUAAGAGCCUCAAAAUCCACCUCCGGACAUACGCCUAAGUCAAAAAUCACCAUUUGGACCUAACAGGGCCAUCAAAACUCUAAUCCAAGAUCAAAUAUGCAAAAGUCAAACUUGGUCAACUCUUUCCAAUUAAAGCUUCUAAAAGAAGAAUUAUCCUUCUAAAUCCAUCCCAAACUGCUCAAAAACCCAAAACCGAACACGCAAAUUUUAAUACAUCAUAUGAAUCUACUCUCAACCUCGAACCGCUGAACAAAAAUCCAAAUGAUCAAAAUGACCAGUAAGGUCAUUACAGAUGUGGUACAGAAUAUUUUUCUCCUGUGUUAUAAGGACAUACUACUAUAGUCACCCUUGGGAGGGCUAGCCGUCUAUUGCAUCCCAAGUGCUAGUGUUUCCCAGGGGUUCGAGGCAUGAUACAAUGUAUUGUGAUAAUUCAUGCAUCGGUCUUGAUGCGGUGUUAGUGCAUAAUAGUAGAGUGAUUACUUAAGUUUGCAGCAGCAGCGGUCCUAUGAGAAGGAUUAUCCACUUUAUGAUUUGGAGCUUACAUCUAUUCCAAUAGAGGAGAGGCAUUUGGUUAUGGAUGUUUAGACUAUGGUCGAUAGAUUUGCGACUAUUUCUGAGCUUAAUAGAGUUCUCACUUGUAUUGCUGCGCAAUCAUCCUUGUUUGACCAUAUUAAGGAUAUUCAGUAUGAUGGUUUCCAUUUGUUUUUCCUUAGGAACAAGAUUGGGGAGGUAGUGCUAAGGAGGUAAUCCUUACUAUGGACGGUGUGGUGCGACUUCUGGGUCGAAUUUGUGUUUUCAGUGUUAAUGGUUCGAGAGAUUGAUUCUUGAGGAGGUUCGUAGUUGUGGUAUUUUAUUCGUACAGGUGAUACAGAGAUGUAUCAUGAUUCGAGCUAGCAUUAUUGGGGCAGCUGAUGAAGAAGGACAUUAUUGGGCAUGUCUCAUGGUGUUUGAUUAUCAACAAGUUUAGAAUGAGCAUCAUUGGUCGAGUGGUUUACUUUGAAAGAUAGCUAUACUGGUGUGGAAGUGAGAGCAUCCAAAUCCACUACUAAAAUGUAAAUGGACAUGGUCGCAUGUAAUAUAAUAUACCCAACUAUGAGUCGGGAUCGAAUCCCACAGAGAACAAUAUGUAGGCGAUUAGGAAUGUAAGAGAAUUAUCACUUGUUAUGCAAUGUCAAACAUUAAGAAUAGAUUUGAGAAAAGAUUUAUAUCUAAAAGCGGAAAUGUAAACUAACCUAGAAAGCAAGUAAAAUGAUCAACGGCUACAAGUAUGGAUGCAUCGGGAAUUACACACAAGUAACGAUCUAAUGUAUUUCAUGAUUUUACAAAUAUGAGCGAGUUUAUUUUAAUUAGCCACGGGUAAUAAUUCUAUAUUAGCUUCUUCCAAAGACUAACAAGACUUCCUAAUUGAAUUAUCCCUUAAACCAAUUAAGAGAUUAAGCACACCCGAUUAUGGCUACAAGUAGUUCAAUCAUAUCCCUAAGUAGAAUCUAUAAAAUGAGGGUUUAAGCCUUAAGUUCUUGUUAAUUAAUCUUUCCCAACCCCAAUAAUUUUUCGCAAAAUUAAUUAGGAGUUAAUGGGCAAGUCCUAGGGUUAGCUAAUCCCUUUGGAAACACUAAAGAACAAGAAUAAUUAAAGAAACAAUAACUCACUUCAUAAAAAGAUAAAAAUUAUUCAAUACAUAAACACAACAAGGUAUUUAAUUCACACUUUAAAUCUGAUUAUUUCCAUAAACAAGAUUCAAAUGUUAAAUAAAAUACUACACACUAAGAUAUUCAAUACGAAGCAAAGAAUGAAGAAAUGAACAUAAAUGGGUAAGAAAUUCUCAAACAAUAGCUUCAAAUCUUCAAGACCCAAGUGUGUGUACAAACCCUAGCUCCCAAAACUUGUUCUCUCUAGUGUUUGGAACUGAAAAUAAGCAAAAACAAUCUUUACAAAUGAGAUGGUUUGUGUAUUAAAUGGUUUGGAGUCAGAGUUGUGAAUUUCUAGAACUACCCAGUUUUUUUGCCUAGUUUCUUCUUCGCGUUCGUGACUACACCCUCGCAUUCGCAAAGGUUUGUUUUCCAAAAGCUUUGCGUUUGCGUCUGAACCUUCGCGUUCGUGAAGGUUUGAGUUCUGAUGCUUCGCGUUCGCAUUAGGUACUUCGCAUUCGCGAAGAUCUAGUUUCCUACUUCUUCGCGUUCGCGAAGGGUAAAUCGCUGGGCAGGUUCUCAUUAUCCAUUUUAGCUCCUUUUUGACUUGUUUUCACUUGGUUUCUUCACCACUACUCCUAAUUCACAUACAACCUGUAAAAUAGAAGUAAAUGACAUCAAACACAUGAUUUUAUCACUCAAACAUAGCAAAAAUAUAGGCUUAAAGACAAGAUAAGUUGGUAAAAUACCAACUUAUCAAACCCCCAAACUUAAACUAUUGCUUGUCUUCAAGCGAUGAAAGCGACAAAAUCUCCUCGCAAGUAUUUAACUCAAUAAUGCAUCCAUAUCAUGCCAAGCCAAAAAGGUCUACUAUAAGCACAAACACAUGACUUCGAUUGGUACCAAUAAUUAAUCCAAACCAUAUGAAUUACCAAACAUUGCUCAUGAACUUCAUUAUAUUUCAAGUGCUCAAACACUACAAAUCAAAGUAGCAAUCAAGUCAUGACACUAAAGCUUCACAAUUUGCCUUUUUAUCACAAUUAACUUUCUUUGGUCAUUCCUUCCAAUUGAAAUGGGAUUAAAUUCAAAACUCAAAUCUCAUGGUCCCUCACAUUUAAAAGAGAAUCUCACACUCAUAAAUCUUAAUUCAAAACAAUAAUGGGAUAUCAAAUGGAAAGAAUUAACUCUCUCUCACAAAGAUGUUCCAAUGCAUACAAGUAGUACCAUAGGCUUGCCCUUCAUGUAUUUCUCCACUAAUAUAGACAACUUGGUUCAAAAUCAUUUAGGACUUAAAGGGUUGUGGUUUAGGCUUUUGGUUAAGGUAGGGCACAAUUUUGGUUAGAGUGACUCAAAACCUCCCCAAGCACUACAAUAUUUACAAUCAAAGUCCACUUCCUUCAAAAACAUUGUCCAUCAUUUCUUCACUUUUUUAUUCCACACCUAAUCUUCCCUUUAUUCAUAACUUCUUAUAAUUUAUUUUUUCUUCCUUCCUUUUCAAUAUCAAGGAAAGUUUCACUUUUUUUUUUAUUAUUACCUUCCACCUUUUAAGCAACUUCUAUAUCACAACUUUUUCAACCUUCACCCCCAAACUUAGGCUUUUAGCCUAUGUUUACACUUCCAAAGUACUUAGGGAGGUAGGUUGCCAAAAUCUAGAUUAAUAAAGAAUAAAGGAUUAAAGCUUGUAACAUGGCUGCCAAAGAACAAGGUUAAAGGCUCAAAAUGGGUUGACUAGGAAAAUAUUCAAGGGUAGGAAAUUUAAGGCACAAUAGCGGUCCAAAGAAGGCCUAAUAUUAUUUUUCAAAUCAAACUAGUCUAUGAUUUCUCCUUGAAGCACAUUCUGGGCAAGGUCUAGACUAAAAAUAAUGUAAAAGAACUCACAAUAAAUCUCACCACACAUGGCACAUGAACACUCAAGUGGAAUACAAAUCCAAAAUCCAAUUGAAACCAAUGACUCAAAGAGGUUACAUAUAUCAUAGGAAGCUAUUUAGUGAAUCAAAGAGCCAAAAAUUUUAGUCUAAAAGUCAUGACAAUGAUCUUUACUUGAAUUAUUUUUCUUUUUCAACGACCAAAAAUUCAUAUGCUGAGGUUUAAAUCAUGUUGGUACCAAGCAAGCCACAACUUGAUCAAUGGGCACAAACCCCAACUCAAACCACUUAUUCUUCUAAGAAAGUCGCCUAGUUAUCCAUCAUCGGGAAAAGUCGACAAAAAUUUACUAACAAUUACCCGGUUCAAAAAAAAUUUGCAUCCUCAGAAAAAGAACCGUGGUACAAAGAAAACCAAGGAAAUCGCCACCAAAAUACAGCAUACUAUAUAAACAAAAAAUUAAAAAGCUAGUAAACAUCAAGUCACUAAAACAUACUGUAUAUAAAAACAAAAAUUCAAGAAACUAGUAAACAUACUAAUAUAACACAUUACAUGAAAAUACAAUAACAAUUAAUAAACUAAAGCAUCGACCAAUCUACACAAAUUAUCACACAAAAAAGAAAAAAUUGUUCAUGCUCCACAUACAUCCAUCAUAUAUAAAUGAGUCACCCCCAACCUAAAGUGUUACACUGUCCUCAAUGCAACUAAUCAAAACAAGAUAAAAUGAAGGAGGUGCUCCCUGAAAAUGCAUCAGUCGGAGCUGGAGGUGGUGGGAAAAUUGAGCUCCAAAUCGGCAUCAUCAUCAUCAUCUUAUUCAUGUGACCCACAAAUGAACUCAGCUUGUACAUCAUCUUGGAUAGAAAUUUGCUUUUCUUCUUCUCAUGCUCCUUGAACUUCCUCUGCCUCUUCUCAAUCUUCCCUUGUCGGUGGCUCAUAUUCUCCAGCCUGGUGUUCAUGGUCUCCAUCUUGCCCGUGAUUGCUUGUUACUCUUUGACUACAUCAUCCAUGGAUGGUGGGGCAGCAGUGCUAGUAGAUGUGCUAGCUCCAGGUGGGCUAGUAGUAAGGCCAGCUAUAAGUUGUCGAAUAUGUGCAUCUACUCCAUGUAUCUGACUGGAUAAGUGGCGCAUAGUGUGCGGGCCGGACUAGAGUGGUCCCAUGGGGUCAAAUGACCCUAAUACAGGUGCAAAGGAUCCAGCAGGAUCAGUGGUGGCCUCAGAGAACUGCCCAAAUGAAGAGGAUGUAACAUCAAUUCUCCUCUUUUUCUACUUGUCACUGGGUCCCCUUUUCAGCAAAGGAUGCAUCGGGAAUUACACACACGUAACGAUCCAAUGUAUUUCAUAAUUUUACAAAUAUGAGUGAGUUUAUGUUAAUUAGUCACGGGUAAUAAUUCUAUAUUAGCUUCUUUCAAAGACUAACAAGACUUCUUAAUUGAGUUAUCCCUAAAACAAUUAAGAGAUUAAGCACACCUGAUUAUGGCUACAAGUAGUUCAAUCUUAUCCCUUGGUAGAAUCUAUAAAAUGAGGGUUAAAGCCUCAAGUUCUUAUUAAUUAAUCUUUCCCAAACCCAAAUAAUCUUUCCCAAAAUUAAUUCAGAGUUAAUGGACGAGUCCUAAGGUUAGCUAAUCCCUUUGAAAAUAUUAAAGAACAAGAAUAAUUAAAGAAACAAUAACUUACUUCAUAAAAAGAUAAAAAUCAUUCAAUACAUAAGCACAAUAAGGUAUUUAAUCCACACUUUAAAUAAGAUUAUUUUCAUAAACAAGAUUCAAGUGUUAAAUAAAAUACUACACACUUAGAUAUUCAAUAUAAAGCAAGGAAAUGAAGAAAUGAACAUAAAUGGGUAAGAAAUUCUCAACUAAUAGCUUCAAAUCUUCAAGAUCCAAGUGUGUGUGCAAACCCUAGCUCCCAAAACUUGUUCUCUCUAGUGUUUGGAACUGAAAAUAAGCAAAACAAAUUUUUACAAAUGAGUUGGUUUGUGUAUUAAAUGGUUUGGGGUCAAAGUUGUGAAUUUUCAGAACUGCCCAGUUUUUCUGCCUAGUUUCUUCGUCGCGUUCACGACUACACCCUCGCAUUCGCGAAGGUCAAUUUUCCUUAAAAUUUGGGUUUGCGUCUGAACCUUCGCGUUUGCGAUGGUUUAAGUUUUGAUGCUUCGCGUUCGAGUUAGGUACCUCAUGUUCGCAAAGGUCUAGCUUCCUGCUUCUUCACGUUCGCGUUGGACCUUCGCGUUCACGAAAGGUAAAUCGCUGGGCAGGUUCUCAUUAUCCAUUUUAGCUCCUUUUUGACUUGUUUUCACUUGGUUUCUUUACCAUUACUCCUAAUUUAAAUACAACCUGUAAAAUAGAAGUAAAUGACAUCAAACACAUGAUUUUAUCACUCAAACAUAGCGAAAAUAUAGGCCUAAAGACAAGAUAAUUGGUAAAAUACCAACUUAUCAGUAUGAUUAUAGGGUUUGUGGUAGGGUUGCCAUGGGUUUCAAGGAAGUUUGAUUCUAUUUGGGUCAUUAUGGACAAUUGAGGGCAUUUCAUAUUGCUGGUGAAUUCUUACAUUUUGAGAGUUCAAAUUUAACAAGAAGGAUUUGCUUGAGCUAUUAAAAGAUUGUGCAUGCUUGAUUAUCAUUCUUGUGUGCAAUGUUAUUUUGAAGUAGGUUUUGUUUAUAUGUCUUCUAUUUAUUCAUUGAUGGAAUGUAGUAUUUUUUUGUGUCCCAUGGUCGAGUAUAGACUCAGAAGAAUCAAUUGAUUACAUAGUGGUUAUAUUCGAAGCAAGGUCAUAUGAAGAUAUUGAUAUGAUGUCACACGGGUG
rnacentral:lncRNA from 1 species